rnacentral:rRNA from 1 species
GAACGCUAGCGGCAGGCUUAACACAUGCAAGUCGAGGGGCAGCGCGUUGUAGCAAUACGAUGGCGGCGACCGGCGAAAGGGUGCGUAACGCGUGAGCAACCUGCCCGUAUCCGGGACAUAAGCGGUGGAAACGCCGUCUAAUUUCCCAUAACAACGAGGGCCGCAUGGUCCAUGUUUGAAAGAUGCGUCGGAUACGGAUGGGCUCGCGAGACAUUAGCUAGUCGGCGUGGUAACGGCACACCGAGGCGACGAUGUCUAGGGGUUCUGAGAGGAAGGUCCCCCACACUGGAACUGAGACACGGUCCAGACUCCUACGGGAGGCAGCAGUGGGGAAUCUUCCGCAAUGGGCGCAAGCCUGACGGAGCAACGCCGCGUGAGUGAGGUAAGUUUUCGGAACGUAAAGCUCUGUUGUUUGCGACGAACGUGCGCCCUGUGAAGAAUGGGGCGCAAUGACGGUAGCAGACGAGGAAGCCACGGCUAACUACGUGCC